GGGAUCUUGAAACAGCUAUAUGCACUACCUGCAUAGCAAGACUUGUUCAUAUGCAUAUUCAGGUAGAUUUGCAUAUUAGGAAUUCAGCAGACAGGACAGAUAUUUUAUGUUAGUUAUUGUCUUCCAUACCACUUUACUAUAUUAUGUUAUUAUACGUUACAGUGUGGUUUCCAACAUGAUUUGGUUAUUUAUAUUUUUAUUAAGU